GCAACACCCAUUUAACAGAACUUUUAAGAGAUAGCCGUAAGUUACGUUAAGUUUUCAUAAUCAGACCAUAAGACUGACAUCACCGACGUCCAAGAAAUGCGAUAAACAGGCAAAGCGGGGAAAGGAGUGCUAUCCCGGUUUUGGAUUUGUGGUAGAGGAGAGAUUUCGUCGCCAAAAACUGAUGCAUCAAAGCAUACAGCAUACAAAUUUUGCAAUAAGUUUUUAGCGAUUUUGCUUAAGUGACUUUCUUGGGUUCCGGUUACUUAGAUCAUUCGUGUGGUCAAACGUUUCACGAUGCUUCAACGGAAAGACGUGAUACUCAAAGUCCUUUUUGUGCUCAACUUCAAAAAGCUGCAUUCACAGCAGACUGCCUAUUUAUUCGCAACUCGAUCCUUACACCUGCUCUCAGAGAGUAUACUUCAACAAACCGACAUGUAUAUAAGCAGUGGGGUCUCAUCUGCCGCCCACUACGUAACGCCUUCGAAGAAGUAGUUGGAUUUCAGCAAGCAACUGGUACGACAAGGUAUGUCACGCCGCUGCAGACAAAAAAAUAUGCCUUCUUCAGGGCCGCCCUGCCAUCGGGCAUAGCGCGAACCAUACGCAAUGGCUAAAGGGGCCUGAGGAGAGCGAUAUCCAUUUUCCGUAAUAAAAAAUUAAAAUGCUGGCUGAUGCUCAACGCGAAUUCCUAUAAGAACAAUGUGGACCUUGAUCGAUCAUAUACAUAGUAAGAUUCUAACUUAAAGAAAAGUACGAGGAUAUUUAAUUUGAAAAGUAUUUUAUUUUUUGAGAAAGCAAAGUAUUCUACUAAAUAAACCACAACAAAUAUGUGCAGAGUAUUUAAGUGUAUUGAAAUAUUUCGAAUGUUAAGCUUGUUUUUAUUUAUGUAAAAGUGUACGUACGCUACUCAAAUAAUAUCAAUUCGACACUAACAAUUGCAUUGAGUGUUUUUAGAUCUUUAAUCUAUAGUUUCUUACAGUAAUUUUUACUCGCUAGUUUAGUUUUUUCUUUUGUUUUUUGUAAAUGUGUGCGUGCCCAACAAAUUGCCGCGCCUUAUCUAAGCGAUAAUGUAAUUGCUUACAGCUACGAGAUUAUGUUAUUUAGUUUAAAAUUUAAUAGAAUAUUUAAACACAUCUCGUUUAAUGUACAAAACCCGUAUCAACAAAAUGCAAAACCGCGUACCAAGAUAAAUUAAAAUCGCGCAUGUGAGGUUGCAUAAAUUAUUUUCUAGAGUAAAAAUACUCAGUUUCAAAAUGGUUCUCUUUUUUAUAAAGCAAUCACAAUUCUGCCUAGUAUAUUUCAGGACGAAUGGAUAAGGCUUUAGCCAAGAGCUUGUGUGAGCAAAUCCAAUUUUUGGUAAAAAAUGUCAGUUACGCGGUUUUGUAGAACGACGAUACGCGGCUUUGUAUUUUAAACGACGAUAUGUUGAAAAUCUAGCAACCGAAUUCAUAAAAAGUAAAAUAGAUUUUAAGUGCAUUAUAGUUGGAAUAUUUGUAUGAACAUGCAAUUUUUUAAAGCUUUUCAGAACUA